ACAGCAGUUCUCUCGUGAGGGGUAACGGUUCCGCGCGUCGCCAGUGAGAUCAGGGAGGGCUGUACCCAGCAAUGGCUGUGUAGGUUCAAAUGUUGAAGCAGCCGUUGCCAUGGAGACUGCUGCAUCAGCUGGAUUGUAACCAGAAAGACCACUGCAACUAAGUGAUGGAUCCGUCCCUGAAUCUGUGGUCAGUUUUGAGAACGGAUGGAGAGAAGUAGUCAUAAAAUGCAUGUGUUUCCUUGCAACAUUAUAGCCGUAUUUCCCCUUGGCAACAAGGGCCUUACGGACUCUCCUUUUUGUCACAGAUAUUAACAUGGAGAAAAUAAAAAUUCAUGUUAUAAGGACAUGCGGGUUGUAAUGCCACAAUACAGCACCUAAUCUCUCUCCUAUCUAGGUCAAACAUCAGCACUUCCCUUCAAUUCCCACUGAGUAUAAAUUCUACAAAAGCAAGACCUAUUGACCUCUUUGUGAUUCUCCAUGCCAAGCAAGCUUGGUACAUUAAGGACCUUUGAAUGUCUUUUGAUAGUUUUUUUCAUUUUCAUUUCACAUUUACAGCAAUAUAAUAGAAGAAUUUGGACCUGAUAUGAUGACAGGGAGAAAGUAUGUUUACCUACACGUAUGUAAAUAUAUUACAUAUAUAGCUACAAUACUGAUAUAUAUACAUUUUUAUUAUAAAGUUUGUUUCCAACAAGUAACAUGAUACAAGGUAAAUUUGUUUUGUUGUCUCCAAAGGCUGUAUCCCAUUGUAUGUAUGCCCCAUGACAUACUGUUAGAAGUAAAAUUCUAGAAUGACUGCAGUUAGGACAAAGAUAUUUGUUGCUCUUUGGAAACUUGCCCAUGAAAUCUGACUUCUAUCUUGGUACAGCACAACCAUUUGAGGACACAAUAUGUGUCAGGUGUUUUGCUUCCUCUCUUGUUUCUUCAGACAGGGCAUACUAUUGUUCUGAGAUUUAAGCUAUGUCACUGAUUAAUAGUUCUAUUAAAUGCAAAUAAUUCUACACUUAAAGCAACUUAUCAUAAUUAAAUCAUAUUACAGAAUAGAUAAUAGACAUUUCCUAUAUAAUGACUGUCUUGAGCUAAGUCAGUGCACAUCUACUAGUUAAGAUACAUGCACGUUAAGCAGCAAAUCGACCCUAACUUCCAUGGCAAGGUUCCAUAGCGAGCACAAAUGCUUUUUUUUUUUUUUAAAUUGAAGGAAAAUUAUUUUGCCAUUUUCCAUCUCCUUCAAAAAGAAAAAGGAAAAAAGAAAAAAAAAACCAGAGCAGUUGUUUUCUUAGAAUCAUUAAAAAAAAAAAAAGGUUCAGAGUAUGAAAAUGCAACUGGGUGUCUUGCUUAUGUAAACUGCAGUCUUGGAGGGAGGAUGCGCAUGCUGAUAUUUACCCAAUACUGAUAGGAUCUGUAGCUAAAUGGGUUACAACAGCUAACCAAAUUAUCUUUAAUGACUGGUAGUAAAAACUUUUGGAUUAUGAUCUUCAUGGAAUCACAGGAAGGAAUACAUCUGGGGAGGCCUCCUAGCUCAACCCACCUGUACAAAGUAGGGCCUAACCCAUAGUUAGAAAUAUUUUUAAACUCAAAUUACACUUAUAAGACAAAUUAUAUGUUUUGUCCAGCAAAAUAUUGAAUAUAUCCAAGGAUGGAGAUUUCAGAGCUUCUCCAGGCACCUGUUCCAAUAUCAUGCAUUUGUGUAUGAUCAGUGAGUUUUUCUCCAAGGAUGUUCACUCAGCCUUGCUCUACCAUGGGUCAUAAUUCUCUCUCAGUAACCCUGCCAUGAGACACAGUAACUUGGGAAGCCUGCAAUCAAUGACUAAUAAAGAUGUUCAUGAUUAUACACACUCAUCAGUAGCUCUCAGGAAAGCUUCAUAGAGGAAGAUAAAAAAGCAGAAGGAAGGGAGGAGGUUUUAAUUGAUUUUUUGCAUUAUUAGUCCUAUUUCGUAAUCCAUGUUUGGUGCAGCUGGAUAGUUCAAUGUCUUCAGCAUUACUCAACCUAAAUAUUUGGCUCUGCAUUGUUUUUCCUGGUUCAAAAGAGAAUUGUUAACAUGAGAGAAGAGUUUAUAAAUAUCCUAUAUAUAUCUUGGUUUAGUUUGGGUUGGAGUACUGAUGUUUAUUUUAGAGCAUUUAGAUUGCAUUUUGGUUUGAAGGAACUCUUGAAAAAACAAUCAAUUAAAAAAAUAUAUUCACAUUUCCAAUGGACUGAAGUGGACUAGAAUCCUGUGAUUCUAGGAUUAAAUAAACAGAAAGACUACUGGAACUUGAAUCAGUAGCCAUAGAAAUAAUGAAGACUCGCAUUGGACCUGCAGCUCCCAAAAGUAAUGUUUAAAUGGCUUAAACACUAAACUUCUACUUAGCCAUUUGUUAAAAUGUGCUGUAAAGAACAUUAUUACUUGUUCGCCUGUGUAACAAAUACUGUCAAUUAAAAAAAAAUCCCUAACUGAAAAAUGUUUAAUUGCAAUUUCCACUGUUGUGUUCCUCUAUUAGAAUUGCCCUUAUAUCAGUGAGCAGGCUAUCUAGCUCUUGUACACUUAGAUCUAGUAAAUAGUACAGUUAUGUUUUUGACUGCUCAGAUUCAUUGGGAAGGAGAAUAGAUAGAGCUCUUUUUUCUUUACACAACUGUAGAGGACAAGUCAAAAUGAGCUGUUAGUGUAGACCAGAUGGAAGCAAAAAUGUAAUAUAGUGUCUCAAGUCUUUGAUCAAUUUCUGCACUGAGCGGAUUACACAUCAUUCAUGGAUCGAGGAUGUGCUGAAAGGAACAGUUCAGCCCUGAAUAUACUUUUCAGAAUUCAGUCUAAAGAAUUCUUUAAUUGUAGAGAAAACAGAUUAUAAACAUAGAUAUGAAAAUACGACAUAUUUAGCAUUUUCAAAUGCUUUUAACUAUCAACUAUAUGUAUUACAAGCUAUGUUUUAUCCUAAUGGGAAUUGAAAUGAAUAACUUGGGAUGCUAUCUAAAAGGGACAUGAUAAUGGAAAAGGUGACAUCUUUCACCACAGCAGUAAACUGUUGCAGUAUAUCUCACUGAGCUGAGAAAACAGCAAAUUUUAGCAGCCUUUAUCUCUAAAAGCAUAAGAUGAUGCCCAUUAUUUGUAACUCAAAAUGACAAAUAAUCAAUCUAGUGUACUUUCACAAUAAACCAGAUAAUGUGAUUUCUCUAAAAUUGUAUGGGUAUUUUAAACCUUUUUGCUAACAAUAUCUGAGAAGUUCAAAAAUCCUUUUGAAAU